UACGUAUGUCGCAAGCGUUAUUCGGAAUCACUGGGCGUAAAGAGUACGUAGGCGGAUAUAUAAGCCAGGGGUGAAAUUUCGGAGCUCAACUUCGAACCUGCCUUUGGAACUGUAUAUCUUGAGUAUGUGAGGGGAAGAUGGAAUUUCUGGUGUAGCGGUGGAAUGCGUAGAUAUCAGGAAGAACACCGGCGGCGAAGGCGGUCUUCUGGCACAAUACUGACGCUGAGGUACGAAAGCGUGGGGAGCGAACAGG
rnacentral:rRNA from 1 species